rnacentral:rRNA from 1 species
GAUGAACGCUGGCGGCGUGCCUAACACAUGCAAGUCGAGCGGCAGCGAGGGGUGCUUGCACCCUGUCGGCGAGCGGCGGACGGCUGAGUAACGCGUGGGAACGUGCCCCAAAGUGAGGAAUAACUGCCCGAAAGGGUAGCUAAUACCGCAUAUUAUCUUCGGAUCAAAGGAUUUAUCCGCUUUGGGAGCGGCUCGCGUCGGAUUAGGUAGUUGGUGAGGUAAUGGCUCACCAAGCCGACGAUCCGUAGCUGGUCUGAGAGGAUGACCAGCCAGACUGGAACUGAGACACGGUCCAGACUCCUACGGGAGGCAGCAGUGAGGAAUCUUCCACAAUGGGCGAAAGCCUGAUGGAGCAACGCCGCGUGCAGGACGAAGGCCUUCGGGUUGUAAAAUGCUUUUAUAAGUGAGGAAUAUGACGGUAACUGAUGAAGAAGGAUCGGCUAACUACGUG